rnacentral:rRNA from 1 species
GACGAACGCUGGCGGCGUGCCUAAUACAUGCAAGUCGAACGCAUUUUCUUUCAACGUGUCUUGCUACACCGAAAGAAAAUGAGUGGCGAACGGGGGAGUAACACGUGGGUAACCUGCCCAUCAGCGGGGGGUAACACUUGGAAACAGGGGCUAAUACCGCAUAAUUCCAUUUACCGCAUGGUAGAUAGCUGUAAGGUGCUUUUGCGUCACUGAUGGAUUGACCUGCGGUGAAUUAGCUGGUUGGUGGGGUAACGGCCUACCAAGGCUGCGAUGCAUAGCCGACCUGAGAGGGUGAUCGGCCACACUGGAACUGAGAAACGGCCCAGACUCCUACGGGAGGCAGCAGUAGGGAAUCUUCGGCAAUGGACGAAAGUCUGACCGAGCAACGCCGCGUGAGUGAAGAAGGUUUUCGGAUCGUAAAACUCUGUUGUUAGGAAAGAACAAGGAUGAGAGUGGAAAGUUCAUACCUGAAGGGUAUCUAACCAGAAAGCCACGGCUAACUACGG